rnacentral:rRNA from 1 species
UAUGGGGCGUUGGCGGCGUGCUUACACAUGCAGUCGAACGAACCUUCGGGUUAGUGGCGGACGGGUGAGUAACGCGUGAGAAUCUGCCCUCAGGAGGGGGACAACAGCUGGAAACGGCUGCUAAUACCCCAUAUGCCGAGAGGUGAAACGAAUUUCGCCUGAGGAUGAGCUCGCGUCUGAUCAGCUUGUUGGUGUGGUAAAGGCGCACCAAGGCAUCGAUCAGUAGCUGGUCUGAGAGGAUGAUCAGCCACACUGGGACUGAGACACGGCCCAGACUCCUACGGGAGGCAGCAGUGGGGAAUUUUCCGCAAUGGGCGAAAGCCUGACGGAGCAACGCCGCGUGAGGGAUGAAGGCCUCUGGGCUGUAAACCUCUUUUCUCAAGGAAGAAGAUCUGACGGUACUUGAGGAAUAAGCCACGGCUAAUUCCGUGCCAGCAGCCGCGGUAAUACGGGAGUGGCAAGCGUUAUCCGGAAUUAUUGGGCGUAAAGCGUCCGCAGGCGGUCCAGAAAGUCUGCUGUUAAAAAGUGGAGCUUAACUCCAUCAUGGCAGUGGAAACUACUGGACUAGAGUGUGGUAGGGGCAGAGGGAAUUCCCGGUGUAGCGGUGAAAUGCGUAGAUAUCGGGAAGAACACCAGUGGCGAAGGCGCUCUGCUGGGCCAUAACUGACGCUCAUGGACGAAAGCCAGGGGAGCGAAAGGGAUUAGAUACCCCUGUAGUCCUGGCCGUAAACGAUGAACACUAGGUGUCGGGGGAAUCGACCCCCUCGGUGUCGUAGCCAACGCGUUAAGUGUUCCGCCUGGGGAGUACGCACGCAAGUGUGAAACUCAAAGGAAUUGACGGGGGCCCGCACAAGCGGUGGAGUAUGUGGUUUAAUUCGAUGCAACGCGAAGAACCUUACCAGGGUUUGACAUCCUGCGAAUCUCCUGGAAACGGGAGAGUGCCUUCGGGAACGCAGUGACAGGUGGUGCAUGGCUGUCGUCAGCUCGUGUCGUGAGAUUGUUGGGUUAAGUCCCGCACGAGCGCAACCCACGUCUUUAGUUGCCAGCAUUCAGUUGGGCACUCUAGAGAGACCGCCGGUGAUAAACCCGAGGAAGGUGUGAUGACGUCAAGUCAUCAUGCCCCUUACAUCCUG